rnacentral:rRNA from 1 species
UACGGAGGGUGCAAGCGUUAUCCGGAUUCACUGGGUUUAAAGGGUGCGUAGGCGAGCAGGUAAGUCAGUGGUGAAAUCUCCGAGCUUAACUCGGAAACUGCCGUUGAUACUAUUUGUCUUGAAUGUUGUGGAGGUAAGCGGAAUAUGUCAUGUAGCGGUGAAAUGCUUAGAUAUGACAUAGAACACCAAUUGCGAAGGCAGCUUACUACACAAUUAUUGACGCUGAGGCACGAAAGCGUGGGGAUCAAACAGG